rnacentral:rRNA from 1 species
AUUGAACGCUGGCGGCAUGCCUUACACAUGCAAAUCGAACGGUAACGGGCCUUCGGGUGCCGACGAGUGGCGAACGGGUGAGUAAUACAUCGGAACGUGCCCGAUCGUGGGGGAUAACGAGGCGAAAGCUUUGCUAAUACCGCAUACGAUCUACGGAUGAAAGCAGGGGACCGCAAGGCCUUGCGCGGACGGAGCGGCCGAUGGCAGAUUAGGUAGUUGGUGGGAUAAAAGCUUACCAAGCCGACGAUCUAUAGCUGGUCUGAGAGGAUGAUCAGCCACACUGGGACUGAGACACGGCCCAGACUCCUACGGGAGGCAGCAGUGGGGAAUUUUGGACAAAGGGCGCAAGCCUGAUCCAGCCAUGCCGCGUGCAGGAUGAAGGCCUUCGGGUUGUAAACUGAUUUUGUACGGAACGAAAAGCCUUCUUUUAAUACAGGAGGGUCAUGACGGUACCGUAAGAAUAAGCACCGGCUAACUACGUG